AAGGAGAAGGAGGAGGAACAUCAAAUGCAGGGCAAGCAGCAGGUGGGGGCUUGCAGCAAAGUGAGGUGCUGCAUCUGGGGCUCGUGCUGCUGUGCUCUGCCAGCUCCUCCCCAGAGUUUUCCCCCUGGAGCUGGCUUAAAACAGAUUUCACAAGCCACUUAAGGAUCUACCUUAGGCAGCAGCCAAAAAAUGCAUAGGGGAGGAUAAGACAAGUCAAUCCAGCUGUGCCAUAGCUCCACUGACUUCAGGUCUUGCUCCUUUGUGCUCCACGGAGGCUGGAGGUGAUCAGUUAUAGCAAGGCGGGUAUAGCAAAGCCAUCCAGACCAGGAGCUAGACUCACUGGGUGUUUUGUAGCACUACGGGCUGCAGACCUGAAGGUAAAACGAUGCCUCCUGGGCCAGCGAGAAUUGCACAGGGACAAGAGGAUGAUUUAAAGCAGGAGGGAAGACAAUUUCCCCAACUAGGAAGAAAGCUUUGCCAAGUAGGAGGAAGCUGUCAGGGGACACAGGCUCCAGCAAAGGCAGCAAAGCAGUGAGCAGAGACAGGUAGCUCUGCAGGAGAACAUCGCCAGGGCUGGGACCUGCUUUUCCAUCGAGUCACCACCACUAAAUCACCCUGUUUAUGUCAAUCCCUUGCAUAUUCGUCUGUGGUCUACAGACAGCAUCUUUUCAUCGUAUGGUGACACUCUUUUUACAUAUGUUUUUAAUGCAGUGGCUGGCGUCCAGUGCAAUGCAGUUUCCAGUUUUAAUAACUGCCAACUAGAGCAUCGUAGGAGCCCAUUGAGUGCUCAGCUGAGGACCAGGAAUCAGAGAGCUGUUGUAGGAGACCUGGCUGGCAGCUUGUCCACCAGGCUGUCGUCUUCAGCCCACGAAGAGUCACUGUUGGCUCCAGUCCCUGCGGGCUGGAGGAGGGAAGCAUCAGGAGGAGAAAACCAUCAGGAGGAGAAAACCAUCAGCAGAGUCUGCCAAAGGUUCCGUGAACCUGGUUCUUCGCUGGCUGUCUGAGCUGAUCCAAGGCACUCAUGGAGCUGAGAGCUACUUAUAGCUAAGCACGAUGCUCAUUCUUCUGGAAAAGAGCAAAGCUGGAGUUUUCAAUAACCCAGCACGCCCUCGGUCUGUUUACCCCUGCUGGUUCUCUCCCCGCGGUGCUCCCGGCCACCUCCCCGUGGCAAUCUGAGCCCAGGGGAUUUCUCCUGCUCGCCUGUUGCUGUUAGAGGAGCAGGUUUUCCAUCGCGAGGGUUACAGAUGGUCCCAUGUGGGCUUGGUCACUGCUCACAAAAUACCAAAAAAUUAAUAUAAUCCUGUAUCAACCCCCUGAGUGUUUCCAUUAGCAUUUAGUCAAACUGCCUCUGGCAACCUGAAAUGUGCUCCUGGAAAAUGCUCAUCAGAAAGAGACGGUUUGUAGCAGGAACACGGAGAAUCCCAGCACCUGGGCAUUGCUUGGUACUGGGGCAAGCAGCCAGAGAAAACCCUGUCCCAGAUCAGGGGAGGAGGAAGGCAGAGGAUAUAAACGUGUGUCUGAAAGGGAGGAACACCCAGUUUAGGAGGUUCUCGUAAAUUCCCACUAGGAUACUGCGAAGACCAGCGAAGCAAAUACUGAGCCUCUAUCAAUUAACCCCACAUUUCACAGAGGUUAGGGUUCCUGAAGGAUCUUAGAAAGGGAGAACUGGGAAAUGAGGAAGAUGCAGAUCCCCCGUCUUAACCCUGACCACCAGAAAUACAAUGAAGGA
rnacentral:lncRNA from 1 species